ensembl:lncRNA
GAGGUACUGACGGAGGAUGGUAACAGCUGACAGCCUUGAAACACAUACAAAAGGACAAAGGUGUGAAGCGAAUAGCCUGGAGUCCUGGCAGAAGCUACCUGGAAUUGGGUAUGAAGGAGGAAAUUUGCCUAAACUGCAAUUUGAUCAUGUCGUGGAUUUAACUUCUUAGAUGAAAUCAUCUCCCAGUUCACCCUCCAGGAACCACUGAUGACAACUGAAAAAAGGUGAGCAUUAUCUUAUUUGGUCAUUUGUCGUCUUAAACAAUCCUAGAAAACUUUUCAGAACUAAGAUUUACAGCUCAUAGUUGGUCCUCAGGAGUUCAUCUAGUCAACCAUCAGCUAUGAUUUGGUUUUGCCUACAUGCCUGAAACGCCCAGUUUUCUCUCAAGCAUAGCUGUUUGUUAGUGUGCAUGUCUUGAACAGAUGUGAUGAAUUUUAUUGCUCUUUCUUUUCAUUCUUUCUACAAUUUGUAUCUUCAGGAAAAGACAGUGCUUAAAUAUGAAUGUAUGAUAACCAUUCUCACCAUAUGCUGUAUUGCUUUUUUAAACUACAGAAUCUACUCCCAUAUUCUUAGCAGGGGAAAAGAAAGAAGACUCGCUUCUUUGUCUUUAACGGAAAAGAUCUAAUGGACAAUGUGUUUCCACUUGAUUACAAUAAAACUCAAGUAUUUUGAGAAGGACAAUAAACACAGCCUAGAUUCUUUCAGCUGCUUCAAAAUCUCACACAGCUCGCACUGGCUCUGUGAAAGUAUCCAUCUACUUAAGCUUUCCUUCUGCUUACAAUAGAACUCAUUUCCCCAGGAGCUCUGCUGGACCUCAUCUGCAGAGCUCAGGUACUCAUUAAAACAUCA